CUUAAGUAUAAUACUACAGAGUGUCCGCUGGUAUGUCGGGAACCUCGUCAACCAAGUCCUCUCUUCAAGGUCUUCUGACUGUCGCACUUAUGCUAAACCUUGAGCGCCUUGUGAUCAUAAACAAUUACAGUUACAGUGGGACAGAGCUUAGUAGCCUUGGAUAAUGUACCACAUGCUGCUUCACCAAAUCUCCAGACAAAGACAGGAUUAUCUGGCCACAUGAAAAAGCCAUUUGCCCUGUGACUGGCUGGCGAUCAGUCCUCAGCUGGCAUAGUCUCCAGCUCCAGCUCCAGCUGUCCCUAAUGAAGACAAGCGCUGUGGAAAAUGGAUGGAUGGAUGUUUGGGAUCAUUUUAUUUUUUUGUUUUUGCUGGCGCCCGACCGCCUCACAACUGCAUGCUCACCGGUGAAGAUUUCCCUCCCUAGAUGAGAAGCUUCCUCAAUGGGGGCCUUUUGUUCACUGCCGCUCCUCUUCUUCUCCUGCGGCAUGAAAGCAGUGUGGCUUGGCGAUAUUAUUGACCGCCGACAUCUAAUUGGAAUCAGCUAGAAUGCGCGGCGACCAAUGGGGGGAGCCCGUUUUACUGCUCAGCGAGCAUCAGACAUGGAGGAUGAGACUCAUCAGCACACUGUGGUGAGCUAAGGUUGUUUGUGAGAGGCUUGCUCGCUCAGUAACGUGAUGACAUCACAAGGAAUUUCACACAUUGCCGGAGCGUUUGAUGCAGCUGGGCAUCACUGGUGGAAAGUAGCCGAGGACAAAUACUUCGUUACUGUACUCAAGUAACUUCCCCUCAAGUCUAUUAAAGGCUGCAAAUGAGCAUCCCGCAUGUGCGCUCGAGCAAGCCGAGUAUCAACUAAGCAGACGCAGUCGCCGCUCGCAGGUUAUUACAUGCUGUCAUUGUUUAAUUCCUGCUCAUUAAAUGCUCCAGACAAUGAAAAAGCACCUCCUUCUCGUGACAGCCUCUUUGUUAACCCUCUUAUCUCGUUCCCGCCUCCCAUUCUCGUUUCUUCGCUCUCUCUUUCUCCGCUGAGCUUCUGUGCCUACUGUCUGACACUCAAGGACCAUUUGAUGGCGUUUCCGAGCUGCCGUUAAAUAUCGGCAUUCAUCUCCCGAGUGAAAACCCGCAAGAGAGGGAAAACUUUGAACGAUGGCGGGGACAAGGUGUGGAAGCCUUGGGAUGUCACACACUGCUAACGGAACGGCCUUAGUGACAGAGGUAUCCCUUCAUGUAGACGACCCACUUGUGAGAGCACACGUGUUUGUUAUGUUGACAGCGCUGGCUCAGGAGUGGAGAGGCAGGACACCCCCCACAGUGCUCCCGCCCUGUGACCCCCUCUUGGGGGCAACAUAUCUGCGACUUGAGAGCAGACACACAACUCUCUAAACCAAUGAGAGAGUGAAGAGCGGGGACCCUCCAUCUGUUGGCCGUGUGCAUGCCUUUGUGCGCACGCAUGUCCGCUCGGGUAAUCAAAGCACCCCUGAUGAGCUCUCAUGGCACACUGGGAUGUCAUGACACCCAAGCAAGGUAA